AAAUAAGAAGUAAAACAUAUUACAUUUAGUUUCGACCUAAAAAUUUGGCUCAUGCCCUUAUUUU
rnacentral:tRNA from 1 species